rnacentral:rRNA from 1 species
GGGAGCUCUCCCAUAUGGUCGACCUGCAGGCGGCCGCGAAUUCACUAGUGAUUCGUAUUACCGCGGCUGCUGGCACGUAGUUGGCCGGUGCUUCUUCUGCAUCUACCGUCACUUGCGCUUCGUCGAUGCUGAAAGAGGUUUACAACCCGAAGGCCGUCAUCCCCCACGCGGCGUCGCUGCAUCAGGCUUGCGCCCAUUGUGCAAUAUUCCCCACUGCUGCCUCCCGUAGGAGUCUGGGCCGUGUCUCAGUCCCAAUGUGGCUGAUCAUCCUCUCAGACCAGCUACUGAUCGUCGCCUUGGUGCGCCGUUACCACACCAACUAGCUAAUCAGACGCGGGCCGAUCUUUCGGCGAUAAAUCUUUCCCCGUAAGGGCGUAUCCGGUAUUAGCCCAAGUUUCCCUGAGUUAUUCCGAACCGAAGGGCGCGUUCCCACGUGUUACUCUCCCGUCUGCCGCUGCCGUAUUGCUACGGCCGCUCGACUUGCAUGUGUUAGGCCUGCCGCCAGCGUUCGCUCUGAGCCAUGAUCAAACUCUAAUCGAAUUCCCGCGGCCGCCAUGG